rnacentral:piRNA from 3 species
UGCGAGUACUCAACACCAACAUCGAUG